GACGAACGCUGGCGGCGUGCUUAACACAUGCAAGUCGAACGGUGAAAGGGAGCUUGCUCCCUGGAUCAGUGGCGAACGGGUGAGUAACACGUGGGCAACAUGCCCAGACUUCGGGAUAACGCCUCGAAAGAGGCGCUAAUACAGGAUACGAACUCCUUGGGCAUCCUUGGAGUUGGAAAGUUUUUCGGUCUGGGAUGGGCCCGCGGCCUAUCAGCUUGUUGGUGAGGUAACGGCUCACCAGGGCGACGACUGGUCGCCGGCCUGAGAGGGCGACCGGCCACACUGGGACUGAGACACGGCCCAGACUCCUACGGGAGGCAGCAGUGGUGAAUAUUGCGCAAUGGGCGAAAGCCUGACGCAGCAACGCCGCGUGAGGGAUGACGGCCUUCGGGUUGUAAACCUCUUUCAGCAGGGAAGAAGCGAAAGUGACGGUACCUGCAGAAGAAGCACCGGCUAACUACGUGCCAGCAGCCGCCGUAA
rnacentral:rRNA from 1 species